rnacentral:pre_miRNA from 1 species
AGACACCCUUCUGGGGCAAGACUUCGCUUCAGUGGGGCUUUGGUGCUCACUGAGUCUGCCCCCUGUGUGUCCCU